AUACCUACCGGGCAGGGCCUACCCAUGGAAGUGGUUUUCCCAGGUUGAGAUUUAUCCAUUACACACCUGAUGUGCUGAGACCUGCAAUUUCCCCAAAUGUGGGGAAAAUGUGGCAUAAUUUGUGGUAAUGGUGUGAACCUCGUUCAUGCUAUUC
rnacentral:snRNA from 1 species